UACAGAGGGACGUCAUGGUUACAACUGCAAUGAAACAUGUAAUAUUAACUGUGGAGUCCCUGGUAGAUGUAACAGAGCAUCAGGGGAAUGUCAAGGAGGAUGUAAAGCGGGGUGGAAAGGGACAAAGUGUGAUAAAAUCAUAUUAGCCGAUUCUGAUGAAACGAGUCAGUGCUGUCCAUAUCUUUACGGUGUGGCCUCCACGCUGUGCAUAAGCGUAGUUUGAAAUAUUUUGUGUGUUAUCUGGAAUUGUAGAAAGAAGAUAUGCAAAGAAACGUGUCAAGAAGAGAAAAGCGCAAAACAAGCGUCCACUGACCGGACCAAGCCUAACACAGAGAUUUAUGAUAAAGUGGAAGACAAUACAGGAUACCAAGAACUGGGUCAAAUAAGCGAACCUUCUCAUUAUGAUGAAUUACAUUAUACAGAACAGAGGGUUCAUAUGGAGGUUUCUAUGCAAAAUAUCUAAUUAAAUUCCAUAAUUACUCUACCUACUACACAGAAAAUGUUAAAACUUGUUUCUAAUACAUUCUUGGUACCCACGACAUGCAAUAGCCAGUACACAUGAUGACGUCAUAUUAAGACGUCAUCGGCCUCUACUACACACAUUUAUAAGAAACAUCAACGAAAUCGUUUCGG